ensembl:lncRNA
AUGAGCACGAAUUCAGUCACUUCACGACAGCCACGAAACAGGAAUAGGAGCUCUGCGUGUUGCUUCGACCUUAGUUCGCCCACUUACACCUCGGUGCUGGGGCACCUGAUGGCCGCUGUGUUUGACCUUGCCGCGCCCUCUGUACUGCUGACCUGGGAGUCCUGAUCACAGCCUCAAUGUGGCCUUUCUUGUUGUGUCCUCAUUCCUAACGUUAAAGUGUUUAAGUGCUUCCUGGUUGUAUCGGGUAGCGUCGGGAUAAGAUUUUAACUGGGUAUUCUUGAAUUGCUUUCACAAUAAACCAAUUUUAUAAUCUUUAAAUUUAUCAGCUUUUUACAUUCUGUGUUCUUUUCAGUUAGGGCUUCUUAGAUCUAUUUACAGUUGAUGGAACACAUUGAUUUGGGGUUUCAGAUUUUCCAAAGCACUAUUUGUGGUCAUAACUAUUUUCUCAUAAAUAUAGUGUCUUUUUUAAAAAAAGGAAAAAAUACAAUAAGGAAGUGAUUUUAUAUACAAAUAAUACUGUUGUUUCAAGUAUUCAUAUUAAAUAGGUGCAUUCUAUUGGAAGUUUCGCAGAAACACUGAAAAUUAACAGUAAUUGAUUGUAAUUCAUAACCCACACCAGUGUUGGAACUCAAGUGCAAAAGUGAGAAGCAGUGUCCAGUGACUGACAGGUGCAGAGUGUUCACACAUCUGAGAAGUGAGUACUCAGAUGAAUUUUAUCUCCGGUAAGCGUAUUUUUGUAAGGAUUGUGGGUGUGCCUAUUUUAACAACUGUCUUCUGUAUUGUGAAAAGUAUUCUCCACAAUUUAAAUGUUUUAUAUUAGAGAAUUCUUUAAUGCACACUUGUGAAAUAUAUAUAGUACCUGUAGUCCCUUUUUAUUUUCUGUUUUAGAUGUAAGAGCAUGCUCAAAUGUUAGGUACUUACGUAACUUGUUACAUUUUUUUUUCUUAUGUAAUACUUCUUUGUUUAUGUGGUUCAAAUAUAUUCUUUCUUUAAACUCCUCUUUGUUGUUUUUAACAAUCACUAUAUUUAAGACUUUUUUUGGCUUCGUACUGGUCUUCCAGCAGAACAUGUCCUAAGGAGAAGGAGAUAUAAGGUGGUCAUGCCAGUGACCAGUAGACACGUUCCACUUAAUGCUGGUUUGGGAUUUGGACCUUUUGAAGUGCGACUGUGAUUCUUUGGGUUUUUGUUAGUUUGUUUAAUUUUUUUUUUUUUAUGUUUUAUUUAUUUUUGAGAUCGGGAGAGACAGAGCGUGAGCAGGGGAGGAGCAGAGAGAGGGAGACACAGAAUCCGAAGCAGGCUCCUGACUCCGAGCUGUCAGCACAGAGGCUGACAUGGGGCUUGAACCCAUAGACUGUGAGAUCAUGACCUGAGCUGAAGUCAGAAGUUUAACUGACUGAGCCCCUUAGGUGCCCCCGGAUGUAAUUCUUUGAACUUUCUGUUGUGUGCUGUUCACGUGGACCAUCCCUGUUGAGGGUGGUGUGUCUCCUUUGUUCUUAAAUGACUUUACUACAGAUAACUGCACAGAAGAAGCUGACAGGAGCUUUACACGGUCUUUCAAAAUAGCCUUUGGUUGUGUUUCUCCACAGGAUUUUCUCAUGGUCUCCAAAAUUUAAAACUUACGUUAGUAUAAAUUAUUAGUUACUGUUUUAUAAACAAAAACAUUCACAAAUUUAGGUGAUAGGUCCUGAACUUUGAAUAAGUAAGAAGUAGAUCUGAUCGUCUUUGAAGAUGAUUUAUUUCUGUGCUUGUGUGUAUAAUAUCUUUCAGUUAAACUGCCUCACAUCCAUUUUCUGGAGAGAAAUCUGAAAACUUUAUCUUUUGUUAUGUAUAGUUUCUUUACAGUAAAGGAACACUAAUUUUGUGGCACUUGAACUUUAGCUUUCCCCGUAUCUUGUCCAACUUGUGGUGGUUGUGCCCCUCAGCUCUGUAGCAUUGCAUCUCCCCUCCUCGCCUCCCAGGGGGGGUCUCCUCUGAGAGCCUGCGCACUUGCUGGAUGGCUUGAAGCCCAGUGAUGGGAGGCUGUCCUCACUCUGCAUCCUGUGGGUCUGAAUUGUACAGCCUUUAAAUAAUUGGUUUAGUGAGCGUGCAUCAGCAGAAUGCUCAGAGAAAUACGGUAAUUUGGAUGUGGGAAGGAGAGCCUCUAGGAGGAGCAAGGGGGUGUGUUUUGUGUGUUUAGGGAAGAGUUAGAUGUGCUGAGAACGUAAUACGCAGUAAUUUACUUUUUUUUUUUUUUUUUAAAGAUAGACCCAGAACUACAGUAAAAUAUCUCAGUGAAUGAAUUUUGCUCAUCUGGGGUGAACAGAAAAUGGGUUUCCUGGAGAAAGAACAGCAGCUAGUAAGCUUACGUGAUGACCACGGGAGUGGUUGGUAGACCCAUGAGCCCCAUUCAGUGCCUGCGGCUGCCAUCCUGUCAGCUGAGCUCCUCCCCUUCUGAGAGAACAGCCAGCUGUCCCUGGCCUGGGGACCACAGGUUACGUUAGGUUUAUAUCUUCAGUUCUGGAUUCGGGCCUGCCGUGUAAGUUUGCAUACGGCGGGAACCGGCCGGGUGUGGUCACUAUUCACUUUGUGGGUAUGCAGUUGCUCUGUGUUACUGAUCACAAGAAACUUCAUCAAGGUUUGUCUUUUUCAGUUAAAAAUCUAACUAGAAAUAAAGUUGAAAUCGAAUUCCAU